rnacentral:rRNA from 1 species
UGGGGAAUUUUGCGCAAUGGGCGAAAGCCUGACGCAGCAACGCCGCGUGGGUGAUGAAGGCCUUAGGGUUGUAAAGCUCUGUCAGGGGGGAAGAACAGCUUGUGUGGUAACUCCACAAGUUUGACGGUACCCCCACAGGAAGCACUGGCUAACUCCGUGCCAGCAGCCGCGGUAAUACGGAGAGUGCAAGCGUUGUUCGGAAUUAUUGGGCGUAAAGCGCAUGUAGGCGGCUUGGCAAGUCCACAAGUGAAAGCCCUCGGCUCAACCGAGGAAGUGCUUUGGAAACUGCUAGGCUUGAGUCCUGGAGGGGCAGGUGGAAUUCCCGGUGUAGAGGUGAAAUUCGUAGAUAUUGGGAGGAACACCAGUGGCGAAGGCGGCCUGCUGGACAGUGACUGACGCUGAGAUGCGAAAGCGCGGGGAGCAAACAGG